AGAGAUACCUAUUUUAGGGUGGAUUUUUUACAAAAAUUUAAAUCUGAUUUCAGAGUUUCUA
rnacentral:tRNA from 1 species